rnacentral:rRNA from 1 species
GACGAACGCUGGCGGCGUGCCUAACACAUGCAAGUCGAGCGAUGAAACCCUUCGGGGUGGAUUAGCGGCGGACGGGUGAGUAACACGUGGGUAACCUGCCUCAUAGAGGGGGAUAGCCUACCGAAAGGGAGAUUAAUACCGCAUAACAUUAGAUUUUCGCAUGAAGAACUAAUUAAAGGAGUAAUCUGCUUUGAGAUGGACCCGCGGCGCAUUAGCUAGUUGGUGAGGUAAAGGCUCACCAAGGCGACGAUGCGUAGCCGACCUGAGAGGGUGAUCGGCCACAUUGGAACUGAGACACGGUCCAGACUCCUACGGGAGGCAGCAGUGGGGAAUAUUGCACAAUGGGCGAAAGCCUGAUGCAGCAACGCCGCGUGAGUGAUGAAGGCCUUCGGGUUGUAAAGCUCUGUCUUUUGGGACGAUAAUGACGGUACCAAAGGAGGAAGCCACGGCUAACUACGUGCCAGCAGCCGCGGUAACAC